rnacentral:rRNA from 1 species
UACGGAGGGGGCUAGCGUUGUUCGGAAUUACUGGGCGUAAAGCGCGCGUAGGCGGCUUUGUAAGUUAGAGGUGAAAGCCCGGAGCUCAACUCCGGAAUUGCCUUUAAGACUGCAUCGCUAGAAUCAUGGAGAGGUUAGUGGAAUUCCGAGUGUAGAGGUGAAAUUCGUAGAUAUUCGGAAGAACACCAGUGGCGAAGGCGACUAACUGGACAUAUAUUGACGCUGAGGUGCGAAAGCGUGGGGAGCAAACAGG